rnacentral:rRNA from 1 species
UACGAAGGGGGGCUAGCGUUGUUCGGAAUUACUGGGCGUAAAGCGCACGUAGGCGGAUAUUUAAGUCAGGGGUGAAAUCCCGCAGCUCAACUGCGGAACUGCCUUUGAUACUGGGGUAUCUUGAGUAUGGAAGAGGUUAGUGGAAUUGCGAGUGUAGAGGUGAAAUUCGUAGAUAUUCGCAGGAACACCAGUGGCGAAGGCGGCUAACUGGUCCUAACUGACGCUGAGGUGCG